CCCUUAGAUGUCCUGGGCCGCACGCGCGUUACACUGAUGCAUUCAACGAGUUUUACCUUGGCCGAGAGGCCUGGGCAAUCUUUUAAACCUGCAUCGUGAUAGGGAUAGAUUAUUGCAAUUAUUAAUCUUGAACGAGGAAUUCCUAGUAAACGCAAAUCAUCAAUUUGCAUUGAUUACGUCCCUGCCCUUUGUACACACCGCCCGUCGCACCUACCGAUUGAAUGGUCCGGUGAAGCCUCGGGAUUGUGGCCAGUUCACUUUAUUGGGAGUUGGCUGCGAGAACUUGUCUAAACCUUAUCAUUUAGAGGAAGGUGAAGUCGUAACA
rnacentral:rRNA from 1 species